GCGGAAUUAGUUCAGUUGGUAGAACGCUAGCCUUCCAAGCUCGAUGUCACCGGUUCGAGUCCGGUAUUCCGCU
rnacentral:tRNA from 1 species